UUAGAUGCUAGGAAGACCACUAAGAUAAAAUAAUGGUUCAUCUGAUGACAAGAUAUUUCAGAUGUGAGGACUAAGUUUGCCUUCAUUUACCAUCUUAGUGUUUGAUUUUGGAGGCUCUAUUUAACUGGAAAUGACUCUCCCUGAAGUUAAUUCCUCAAUUGUCCUUGCACUGUCAGAUGCCUUUCUUUCUGAAGGACUUCCUUAAUCCACUGUGGUACUUUAAGUGGCUGUCUUGAUAACACCAAAUGUCAUCUGGCAAGUGAAUGACCUUACCUGCUAUCCACAUAUAUUGUCAGAGGGAACUGUGAACUUUGUUUUGGCUUUAAUUUUAAGAGCCUGAAUCCCAAGGCAGAUAUCACAAACAUGAAGACCUGUCCUAUUCCUGCUUCUGUACAUUGCUGGAGAAUAAUAGAAUUAUUGCUCGAAGAGCUACUUAUUGUUAAGUGAUAGAGAAAGAAUGCCAAUAAACCAAUACUUGGGUGAAUCAUGGACUGAAAGUAACCCUGCUGCGGAUGCUACAAAGAUACUGC
rnacentral:lncRNA from 1 species